CACGUAGGGGGCAAGCGUUGUUCGGAUUUAUUGGGCGUAAAGAGCUCGUAGGCGGCUUGGUAAGUCGGGUGUGAAAUUUCGAGGCUCAACCUCGAACCGCCAUCCGAUACUGCUAUGGCUAGAAUCCGGUAGAGGAGUGUGGAAUUCCUGGUGUAGCGGUGAAAUGCGCAGAUAUCAGGAGGAACACCAACGGCGAAGGCAGCACUCUGGGCCGGUAUUGACGCUGAGGAGCGAAAGCAUGGGGAGCAAACAGG
rnacentral:rRNA from 1 species